CUUGCUUCUUCUUUAGUGAAAAACAACAGCGGAACAGAACUGAACUGUUUGUCAUUCAAUCGGGUGUGAGGUAAAAAGAAGAAGAAAAAAAAAGAACAAUAACAAAACAAGACAAAAGUCUAGCAGGAUGUUAAAGCAGAAUUUGACUUAAUUGGAGUGCGACGGUGGAUCGACUUUUAUUAACUCCUUCACAACAAAUCUCAUGGACGACAUAUUAACUCAUUCAUAUCCGAUUUGAACUUUUUAAACUUCCAAACAUGCAACCAUAAACACUUUGGUAUAAACUGCUCAAAACUCGAAACUUGGAAACAGUAGCUUUUAUGGAGAGAACUUUGUAAUGUGUUCUUUGAAAGGAAAUUCUUCAUGCAACAUCGAAUAACUAUGGAGAGAAAAAUCUACGCAGAAUCUCACCUUUGGUAAUUACUUCUCUUUUUUAAGAAAACAAAAAUGUUUUGAUACUCGACCCGUCCACUUCGAGUCUUGGACUUCUGUUAAUCUUUUGUUACCGGACCUGUUCAAUGUAACUAACGACAGUCAAUCUUUUCCACGUUGACCUCUGUCAGUUUUUUUGUUCAAUUUGACUGACCAUAGCCAAACUUUUGGCACCGGACCUGUACAUUUUGACCCCUAUUGAAUGUGACUGACCACAGUCAGAAUUUUCAUACUGGACCUGGACCUGUACAAUCUUUCGUUACCGGACCUAUUCAAUGUGAUUGAUCACAGUCAAACUUUUGACACUUGACCUAUCCAGAUUGACUGUUACCAGUUUGACAUUUUCUCAUACCGUGGACAUACAUAUUCAUUUUGACGUCUAUCGAGCAUUUUAUAACGGAACUGUCUACUAUAACCACUGUGAGUAUUUCAAUGCCGAGGACAUAUCUAGUUUGACAGUCGUCAUUUUUUUAAACUGACCUGUCCAGUUUGACUUGUCAGUCAAAUAAAGGAACUUAUCAAAUUUGGCCAUGACUUGUUUCUUUUUGACCAACUACUACCAUUUAGAUGAAUGUUUUCUAAACAAAGAAUGUUAUCAGCGUUGCUUGUGAAAAACUUCCUUAAACAUGGCCAGAAAACAAUAUCACAUUCCAAAAGUAAUUCCACCAUUUUUUGCAAUUCUUUUCGUCGUCUUCACAAAUGGAGUUCAAACAGAGAUGGAGAGUCUGUA